rnacentral:lncRNA from 1 species
UCUAUACCAUUUUUUAUUGUUAUUUUUAUCUAUGUCUCACUUUCUCUUCCUUAAUCCUCCUCACAUUCACUCAAUGUAUGAAUCCACCACUGCAUAUGUAUUUGUGCCUAGCUUGUUACUUGCAUGAGAGCCAAGCUCUUUCCUUUCUUUUUUUUCCUCCUCUAUAUUAGCAUUUACUUGGCUAUAAACUAAUUAUUGUACCUGCUCAUUAACAACAUAGUCCGCAGCAUUAAUUCUUUUUCCAAGAACACGUCC